UUGAGUUAGGUAUAACAUCUUACUUCAAUUUAAUGCAAUCAUUUUUAAGAUUCUCGUUUUCUAUUGGUUACAGAUAUACUGUCUUAAGAGAUACAUCCAAACCAGAGAAAUGCAAAAGUACAAUCAAGAAAUAUCCAAAACUACUGCACAAUAAUAGGCCUAAAUUUUUAAACAGAAGGGGAUAACAGAGACCAUAAAAUCCACCAAAUCAUUGAGCAAGAACUACUAGUAUGAAACUAAGGCUAAAGAAGAUUUCGGUACCUUAAUAAGGAAGCAAAAAUUAUAUUUUAGUCCACAUCCAGAAGAACUCUUUAAACUAAAUUUGGACUUUUCACCAGAUAUUUUCAAGCUUAAUUGACACCUUCACAAAUUCAACAUAUGCUAUUCGACUACCCUGUCCUGUCGCAAAUCAUAGAGUCCAUUAUACUGUAAUGGAUACACGGGAGACACUUAUUUAAUUGAAUUUGUGUGGUGAUGAGUUACAUCCGGUCACCAAAUGGCAAUUGGAAGAACAUAUUGGAGAUAGAGAUAAAUCAGAGGAAGCAUAAAGAAGAAGUUUAUAAAGUUUUG